AUAGCUGCUUAGCCUUUUUGCUAAGAUCAAGUAACUGUUCUGAUCAGUUUAAUAUCUGAUAGGUCCCCCUAUGUGGGUAUAAUAUAUUAAAUGGAUUUUUGAAACAGGGAGCUGGAAAAAGAGGCCUUCCCUGUCCUCUCCAUUCAUUGACCUGAUAUUGCAGUAUUUUCAGGGACAGUACACAAUAA